AGGACGAACGCUGGCGGCGUGCCUAACACAUGCAAGUCGAACGGAACCAGCAAUGGUUCAGAGGCGGACGGGUGCGUAACACGUGAGGAACAUGUCUUUCGGUGGGGGAUAGCCGGCCCAACGGCCGGGUAAUACCGCAUACGCUGCUCGGAGCUCCUGCUCUGAGUCGGAAAGCAGCAAUGCGCCGAUCGAGUGCCUCGCGGCCUAUCAGCUAGUUGGUGAGGUAAUGGCUCACCAAGGCGACGACGGGUAGCUGGUCUGAGAGGAUGAUCAGCCACAUUGGGACUGAGACACGGCCCAGACUCCUACGGGAGGCAGCAGUGGGGAAUAUUGCGCAAUGGGCGAAAGCCUGACGCAGCGACGCCGCGUGUGGAUGGACGGCCUUCGGGUUAGUAAACCGACGUGGUCGGGAGGACGAAGAUCGUGACGGUACCUACCAAAGGAAGCAACCGGCUAACUCUAGUGCCAGCAGCCGACGGUAAUCGUAGA
rnacentral:rRNA from 1 species